CAGAAAAUGUUGCAAGAGAACCCUUUUGGCAGGUCAGACCUCAGAGUAGCAGUAGAUCAGCAGAAUAUGAAACUCGGGCAAUGUAGAAGCAUGGAGACUCCCGAAUUGCAUCAGAGUUGUCAAACUGGUGACUGAUCACUAAAGAGAUAAGAUGGGAUUUUGUGGCGUGGAAGAGAGGGACAAGUCAGUAUGACCAAAAGUUUCAAUCAAUUCACUUUCAAGUUCUGCCAAGUCCAAAGGCCUCAUGAGUAGGUUCUGGAGAGGGAAGAAGAAAUAGUUACUAAACCUCCAAAUUCAAGAUGCAUGGUUAUAACAAGAUGGAUGGUCAUGGAAGUAUCGUUAUAUGUUUGAUCUUACAAUGGUCAGCCAUCACAGGAUUUGGUUAAUAACAAUAUCUGGUUGUAUUUCUUCAAGUUGCAAGAAAAUUUGCAAAGUCAUAAUCACCCCUCAAAGUUGCAGUGGCUGGUUUCUUCAAGACAUGACGACUGUCGGAAAAAUCAAACCAAGUUUAUAAGCAGGCCAGGGUGCAGAAAGGAAUUUGAAUUGGUGCUGGCAAGCUAAUUUGUGCUAUGAUUAUAUGCUUGCAUUCUGGAAUCCAUUUGACUGAUUGAUGUUGGCGCUGUUAGGGUUUUACCUUAACUAGUUGGUGGCUGAAGCUUUUCUUGCCAUGGAACACCGGAAAGAAUAAGUACAUGUGCAGGCCUCGAAGUGUAAGUUGAAAUCACUUUCGAGAUUCCAUCAAGUGACAGAAUGCUACUAAGGGAAUGGCAUGCAUAGGCUUUUCAACAGUGCAGUGGAAGCUGGAGCAGCUGUUGAGAAUUUCAAACUUGUUGCUUUGUCAAACCACCAGCAUAGCACUUCUGGCUGAACUGUUCUCCUUUCCAUACCACACUUGAAAGUGAUCUAUUGUCAACUUGCCGAGAUGCAUAGCUCUGCACUUCCUUUGUUAUGGAGUUGGACUAGUACUCACGAAUGAAGCUAAUAGCACUGCUGAUUAUGCUGCAAAUUAAGCUUGCUAAACAGAGGAUGUGCACCAAAUGUGGAGUCCAUUAACGUUAAACUUCUCUCGUACUGAUUUGUGCUCCGUACUAUUUUUGGCCUUGAGCAAUUGGUAAUUGGGGCUUGCAUUGCAAUUUUUUAUUUUUAUUUUCCAUUCCCACUUUAAGUUCUGGCUAGGCACUUCCGGAUAAUGGUUGGGUCAGGGUGUCAUUCCCAUGUUUCUCUCUGUUUCUAUUGUAUUCAAUUUUUCUUCAGUGAAGUACAAUUUGGACCAAACCAAAAUGGGUGUAAUAGUUUGUAGUACUAAGACGUUAAUGUAAGGCAAGACCAAGACCCCAUUACAAGUGGUUCCAGAGUUGUGCUAGUUGUCUAUAUCGCUGGAACUAAAACUGUGAGUCUGUGAUAGGAAGAGUUCAUAUUGGGUCACAGAGUUUGGUCUUAAUCUUCUGAGAUUAAUUUAAGCAGAAACCCUCUUUUUUUUU